CAGCAGCCGCGGUAAUACCGGCGGCCCGAGUGGCGGUCACUAUUAUUGGGCUUAAAGCGUCCGUAGCCGGGUUGGGAAGUCCUCCGGGAAAUCUGGCCGCUUAACGGUCAGAAUGCCGGAGGAUACUCCCAGCCUAGGGAGCGGGAGAGGCCGAGGGGAUUCCCGGAGUAGGGGUGAAAUCCUAUAAUCCCGGGAGGACCACCUGGGGCGAAGGCGCUCGGCUGGAACGCGUCCGACGGUGAGGGACGAAGGCCAGGGGAGCAAACCGGAUUAGAUACCCGGGUAGUCCUGGCUGUAAACGAUGCGGACUUUGUGUCGGACAAGCUAUGAGCUUGUCCGGUGCCGGAGGGAAACCGUUAAGUCCGCCGCCUGGGGAGUACGGCCGCAAGGCUGAAACUUAAAGGAAUUGGCGGG
rnacentral:rRNA from 1 species